rnacentral:rRNA from 1 species
UUACGGUCAAAUCACGCUGAAACACCGGUUCUCGUUCGAUCACCGAAGUUAAGCAUCGUAGAGCCAGGACAGUACUUAGAUGGGGGACCGCUUGGGAACACCUGGUACUGUAAG